GGCAUAUGUACUGAUAAAGUCCCUUCUACUAAACUUUUAGAUUUCAUUUAUCGCACAGGUUUAUUUUAAAGCAGAUAUCUAUAUACUGCCAAAGUUUCAUCAAAUUCUGUUCAGCCAGUUUCGCGGGAAGCUGUGACAAAAUCUGGUUAGUGAUCCUCCAAUGUAUGAAAUGUAAAGAUAUCACUAGAGACAAAACCUUUCUUUUAUCGAUAUACAUAGUUACAUUAAAUGUGUGUGAUAAAUCAAUACUUCAUUAUAAUUGAACUGAGGGGUUUAAGUUCAAACUCUCUGAUCUUUGUCGUGUUUGCAGAGAAUCAGACAUGUAGGAUUGAAGAGAGUCAGAAUCAGACAGUAGAUAUAGAUGAGAUCAGACUCUGGAGAAAUCUCUUCAUCACAUCAGGAAUAAUAAACUGUGUUCUGAUUGUUGGAGUCACAGUCUCGAUCGUAAGCUGCUGUGGAAAAAACAACAAAUCACCAAACUGUGAUGUGAAGCUUCAAGAAGUCAGUGGAUCACAGAGCUGGUGGCCAAAAGCACAGAACGAAAGCAGCUACACUUUGGUGGAGUUUAUUCUGUUUCAGCCUGUGAUGUAACACACACAGACACACAGACACACACACACACACACACAGUGGUCAUUGUUUUUUUUCUAUAAGCUGUGCUACAUGAUUGCGGUUAUAGCCUGCACACAAACACAUCUCACACACACACUAAGGUGAACAGCUCCGUCUUCCGCUUCUCGUUUUGCAGUAACACUCUUACAGGAGUUUUUCUCCACAUGAUUAAAAUAAACCUUUCUCUAUGUUUUCGAUAUUUAACUGCUAAUAGUGUAAUAUUUCAAAAGUGAAGAUAGCUGGAGCUUUACUAUCUGUGUAACUGUUUAACACCAGAACAUCUAAUACAUACAUACACAUAAUAUGAAGUCUGUGUUCUUUCAAAUAAAGGCUCACUUUUAACCUGAUACUGUCUUAAUAUAUUCUCCUGUAUGGAACAAAUUGCCAUGUCAUGCAGUUAUAGAUAAAUAAUGAGUGAUGUGCUGGUGUAAUAAAGCAUGUAUAUAC